rnacentral:rRNA from 1 species
CUUAGAAGCAGCCAUCAUUUAAAGAAAGCGUAAUAGCUCACUGGUCGAGUCGGCCUGCGCGGAAGAUGUAACGGGGCUAAGUAGUAAACCGAAGCUGCGGCAAUGUGCUUUUGCACAUUGGGUAGGGGAGCGUUCUGUAAGCGGUUGAAGGUGUGUGGUAACGCAUGCUGGACGUAUCAGAAGUGCGAAUGCUGACAUGAGUAACGAUAAAGGGGGUGAAAAA